rnacentral:rRNA from 1 species
GAUGAACGCUGGCGGCGUGCCUAACACAUGCAAGUCGAGCGCGGUCCCUUUGGUGCUUGCACCAAAGACGACUGAGCGGCGGACGGGUGAGUAACGCGUGGGUAACCUGCCCUGUACAUAUGGAUAACACUUGGAAACAGGUGCUAAUAACGUAUAUCUCUAAGGAUCGCAUGAUCCUUAGAUGAAAGAUGGUUCUGCUAUCGCUUUUAGAUGGACCCGCGGCGUAUUAACUAGUUGGUGGGGUAACGGCCUACCAAGGUGAUGAUACGUAGCCGAACUGAGAGGUUGAUCGGCCACAUUGGGACUGAGACACGGCCCAA